rnacentral:rRNA from 1 species
AGCAAGAAGACCCCCUGAAUUUAAGCAUAUAAUUAAGGGGAGGAAAAGAAACCAACUCGGAUUCCCCUAGUAAUGGCGAGUGAAGCGGGAAGAGCUCAUGUUGUAAAUCUCCAGCUUGCUGGCGAAUUGUAGUCUAAAGGUGCGUGCUCAGUCGUGGUCCCGGGCUAAGUCUGUUGGAAAACAGCAUCAUGGACGGUGACAAUCCGGUUCUUGCCUGGGGUCCCGCGGCGUACGAGCCGUUUCCGACGAGUCGUGUUGCUUGGGAUUGCAGCACUAAGUGGGUGGUAAAUUCCAUCUAAAGCUAAAUAUUGGUGGGAGACCGAUAGCGAACAAGUACCGUGAGGGAAAGAUGAAAAGACUUUUGAAAAGAGAGUAAAAUAGUACCUGAAACUGCUGAAAGGGAAGCGAUUGAAGUCAGUGUUGCUCCUGGUCUUUUUGCCGUCGCCCCCGUGGGGGUUGCGGCGUGGGGCCUGGAGCGUUUCAACAUGCGUUCUGUUCCGCGGGAAAUGUUCAGUGUGCUGGAACCUUCGGGGAAACGCACUGUUCUUGUCGUGGUUAGGACGGAGGACCUUUGCUCCUUUGACUGCGCGUUCCUCUCUCGGGUAUGCUGGUGUCUACUGCUUGCAGUUUUCAUUUUCAUGCUUGCGACUGUGCGUGUUAUUCAUGAGCGAACAUGAUGUUGAAGAAAUGGCUUUAAUUACCCCGUCUGGAAACACGGAC